UCUGGUUGAUCCUGCCGGAGGUUACUGCUAUCGAGGUUCGACUAAGCCAUGCGAGUCGAAUGUAGCAAUACAUGGCGUACUGCUCAGUAACACGUGGACAACCUACCCUCAGGUCGGGGAUAAACCCGGGAAACUGGGUAUAAUACCCGAUAGAUCUCGGCUGCUGGAAUGCAUCGAGCUCUAAAGCUCCGGCGCCUGAGGAUGGGUCUGCGGCCUAUCAGGUAGUAGUGGGUGUAGCGUACCUACUAGCCUACGACGGGUACGGGUUGUGAGAACAAGAGCCCGGAGAUGGAUUCUGAGACACGAAUCCAGGCCCUACGGGGUGCAGCAGGCGCGAAAACUUUACAAUGCCGGCAACGGCGAUAAGGGGACCUCGAGCGCCAGGUUACAAAUCUGGCUGUCGUGAUGCCUAAAAAGCAUUGCAUAGCAAGGGCCGGGCAAGACCGGUGCCAGCCGCCGCGGUAACACCGGCGGCUCGAGUGGUAACCGUUAUUAUUGGGUCUAAAGGGUCUGUAGCCGGCCGGAUAAGUCUCUUGGGAAAUCCAGCAGCUCAGCUGUUGGGCUUUCAGGAGAUACUGUCUGGCUCGAGGCCGGGAGAGGUGAGAGGUACUUCAGGGGUAGGGGUGAAAUCUUGUAAUCCUUGAAGGACCACCAGUGGCGAAGGCGUCUCACCAGAACGGACCUGACGGCAAGGGAC
rnacentral:rRNA from 1 species